CUUUAGAAUAUUCUGUAACCAUAAGAAUGUGUGUCCAGGAGGAUUUCAUGCCAAGGCCACCUUGAUUUCUUACUAUUAGAACUGAAUGGUUAGAAGAAGCAACAUAAUUUUUUUUGAUAAGCAAAAAAAUUUUGUUAGUAAAAGAUUUUAGUUGGAAAAACUUAGCAUAGUCGUCUCCAGACUGAACCCAGCCAACAGGCUUCCUCUUUACAUCCAACCUAGGC
rnacentral:misc_RNA from 1 species